rnacentral:rRNA from 1 species
UACGUAGGUGGCGAGCGUUAUCCGGAUUUACUGGGUGUAAAGGGCGUGUAGGCGGGAUUGCAAGUCAGAUGUGAAAACCACGGGCUCAACCUGUGGCCUGCAUUUGAAACUGUAGUUCUUGAGUGCUGGAGAGGCAAUCGGAAUUCCGUGUGUAGCGGUGAAAUGCGUAGAUAUACGGAGGAACACCAGUGGCGAAGGCGGAUUGCUGGACAGUAACUGACGCUGAGGCGCGAAAGCGUGGGGAG